rnacentral:rRNA from 1 species
UACGGGGGGGGCAAGCGUUGUUCGGAAUUACUGGGCGUAAAGGGCGCGUAGGCGGCCUUCUAAGUCGGACGUGAAAUCCCUCAGCUUAACUGGGGAACUGCGUCUGAUACUGGAUGGCUUGGAUCCGGGAGAGGGAUGCGGAAUUCCAGGUGUAGCGGUGAAAUGCGUAGAUAUCUGGAGGAACACCGGUGGCGAAGGCGGCAUCCUGGACCGGUAUUGACGCUGAGGAGCGAAAGCCAGGGGAGCGAACGGG